GCUUAUUUAUUAAAUAAGCUAGUUUUUAGGCUUGGGCUCAAGCCAUAUGGUUUAUUUUCUACAAUUCAAGAUUGUAUUGGUGCAUCCAUCGCAUGGCCCUAUCCAUUCAUCUCGGUAGUCCAUGAGGAUUGAGGGCGCAUGAUGACUCAAGAUUUUAUGCUUCUUAUUUCUUUAAUUGCUUUUAAUUUCUUUGUUAAAUGUUAAGACUUUAUGUUAGAUAAUGUUAUAACUUAUUUAUGGUUAGUGUUUUUGUUAUGAACAUGCUUAUUUGAAAUA